rnacentral:rRNA from 1 species
UACGAAGGGGACUAGCGUUGUUCGGAUUUACUGGGCGUAAAGCGCACGCAGGCGGCUUGGCAAGUGGGACGUGAAAGCUCCCGGCUUAACUGGGAGAGGCCGUUCGAGACUACCAGGCUUGAGGUUGGGAGAGGGGUGUGGAAUUCCCGGUGUAGUGGUGGAAUGCGUAGAGAUCGGGAGGAACACCUGUGGCGAAAGCGGCACCCUGGCCCACACCUGACGCUGAGGUGCGAAAGCGUGGGGAGUAAACAGG